AAGAGCGGUCAAGUAGUUCUCAAAAACAAUCUCGCCGUGACCUUUAAGGGGCUGAUUAUAUCUGUACGGAGAAUCUGCAACAAAAAGAUGGUCAGCAUAACAGAAACAGACCGUGUAAAGGAAAUUCAGAAGUUUGUUUCUAAACGCAUCAUAAAUGUUAAAAAUGUAUUGCUUAAAACAUGUUACGAAGACUGUUAACUAUGUAGUACUGAACUGUGGAGUUAGACCGUUUUUCACCAUCUUCGUGUUCAGGAUUUUUUGGGCGGGGCUGAAACCAUGGCUCCAUGACGCACUGGAGCCACCGAGCGUGGCCCCUCCCCUAACACUACAAUAACUAACUUUGCUGUUAGUUACUACAGCCUACAGGUUGCUAGCUAGCUAUGCCUUCGUCCCGCCAAUGCAUAUUCCCUGAAUGCAAGAAAUUACGAAACAGCUCGGCCUCCUCAUUUAAAUUUCCCAAGAAUUAUGAGAUCAAGAAAAGGUGGAUUGAUUUUGUGAAGAUCCACCUUGAUGGAGAGCUAUGGAUCACCACCAACACCCACCUCUGCCUCUGCAUUUUACACCUGAUAGUUUUACAAACUUUCAUCAGAGAUAACUGGGAUUCAGUGAUAAGCCGCUGUUACUGGGGAAUGGGGCUGAACCAACUAUCUGAGCAGCGCGUGUGCGUCGUGGAACCGCUGUCUGUGUGGACACCACACAUGUGCGAGCCGCAGCAGUUCAGCGAGACAGCCACCACACACAGGUAGAGAGAGGAAGGCAGUGUGGCCCAAGCGUAACUAUUUUGGAGUAAUCCCAUACAAAUCCUCCUCAUUUCAGACUUUACCUGGCCGCAUUGCAUUUCAAUGAAAAUUCUGGCUUACCCAAGCGAGGACUGCAGCAGGAGAACUGCAGUUCCAAAUAAAAUUUCCCAAGGCCAAGAGAGGGGAACAUGUUGUGUGCCAUGGUCAAGGCCAAAUAUACUACUGGUUAGGUAAUUCUCAAUUGUCUGUUGGUAUUUCCAUACUAAUAUAUGCAUGAUUCCAAACACAUCCGCCCCGCUGGCGAGAUUUUGGCACCACCUGAGCGACAAGGUGUAGUACAUUUGCCAGUGUGACACAAUUCCUAGCAGUAAACACAACAUUUCUAUUGCAGUUACUUUGGUAACAAUUUGUCAACAGUUGAAACCAUAUGAAUGACUCAAACUAUAUGCUAUGUUAUGUGCUCUCUCCUGUGUUUUAGAGUAUGUGACUGAGCUUACGGACCUCCUCUUUAACGAGGUCAUCCAUGACCCUUCACGCUUUGUGGCUGAGAUGAAUGCAGUGGCUGUUCCUGGAUUCCUGUGCUCACAGUAUGAGCGACCUGAGAAAUCAGACGCAAUUGCUAGCCAUGUGUCCAGGCUCAGCUGUCCAGGUGGGGUGGAAAUAGCUCCAACACAUGGUGACUCAACACCCAUCUAACCCCACAACCCCUUUCCUAAUCAGCUGUUUUCUGCCAGCAUCUGUCAUCGUCUUCCUCCAGCAUAUCUGCCUGCCUCCUGCCUCGGUCCGUCCCUGCACUAGAGCCCCACCAGCCUCCAUGUUAAAAAAAUUCUACUCUGUCAGCAUUUUCAAGGAAUCGUCUCAGUAAAGAAGACAAUACACCUCUGCUUAGCUGCGCUCAAGUCGAACAGUGUGGGCAGAACAACCCCUCUGAAAGUAGUUAAGUUUAUGUCUUUGAUUGAUACAUUAAACAAAAACAGCCUUAGUCUUAUUUUUUUCCUUUUUUCCUUCCUUUCAGAACGGGACCCCAGAAGACGCCAGUUUGAGUCAUUAACCCGCAGUCUGCCUCAAAUCAUUUUGGCUGUAUGAAUCGACCAGGACAUAGACAGCAGUUGUUAUUUUUUUCCAGUGAUUUUCCACAACCAUCGAGCAAAAUUUUCAGAAUGAUUAUCCCAUUAAUGCAUGUUACUAAAUCUACAUUUUAUCGUUC